GUCUAUGGCCAUGCUACCCUGAACAAGCCGGAUCCCGUCUGAUCUCAGAAGCUAAGCAGGGUCAGUCCUGGUUAGUAAUUGGAUGAGAGCCCACUUAAGAAGACCAGGUGCUAUAGGUG
rnacentral:rRNA from 1 species